rnacentral:rRNA from 1 species
GAGGCCAGCAAGUGGGGAAUUAUUCGCAAAGGGGAGAAACACUGACGCAGCGACGCCGCGUGAGGGAAGAAGGCCUUCGGGUCGUAAACCUCUGUGGGAGGGGAAGAACUCAAUUAG